UGGGUCGCUGCGCACAGUUGGCACUCACUGCGCGGGAUUCCCACGCAGCCGUCGACCGGCGUGAAGCGCAUGCGCGUCAUGUCCGGACUUGCGCAGCGGCUACCAUUCCCCUCACCCCCCAGCUUCUGCAGCUUGAUGGCCUGGGCCUAGGGGUCAGUGACGGCAUCCAAAGCUGGGCAGUGCUUUGUUCUUGUCCUUGCUUGCGGGUCGGCCAUCAUCUGGGCGGUCCCCCGAGGUAGUCUUGGACAUGACAGGGUUGAGGGGCCGGCUGACGGACGUCUCAGGAUGGCCAACUUCUCCUCCAGGAAGUCCUGCACCUGGUCCUGCACCGUGGCCGCUGCAGCUCUUGCUGCUCCUCACGCGGCGCACCCUGCUGCUUCUCGCAGGCCUUCAUCUGCCACGCCAUCUCCUUCUUCUGGUGCAGAAUGGACUCCAGGAUGGCCUCAUGCUCAUACAGGACUCAAAACACACCCUGUCAUCCUCUUCUCUUCAAGUAUCACCUGGCGGCCAAUCACCAGUAUAUUUGGGGCAUUUUCAAAUUGCCUCCACACUCCAGCCCUCAGUUUUAUCUCUGCAAGGUCAGAACGCCCCUCGUUAGGAAUAGAGGCUGAAUUGGAAUG
rnacentral:lncRNA from 1 species